GUCCCCUGGCACGCUCACUGUCCUCCUCUCAGCCUUCACUCCUCUGAUCCCUCCUGGCGACCUCGGGGCCCACGAGGCUGACCCGGUCCACCGGAGCCUCUCCCUCCUCAAGAAUGUUCUCCUCCUCCCCACCCGAGCAUCCCCCAGCGCACGGUCAUGCCCCGGGCAUCAGGAAAGACCACGCCCCUCCUCGAUGCCCAUUUCUAACAUUCUGCUCUCUCAUCACCUCAAGGCCAUGCCCUGGUCGUCCAGCUCCCUCCCUCUAAUGCCUCUGCACCCACAGCCUUCAGCCUCUUGGAGACCUCUGGCCCACCGACCCCACAGCCUUCCUCACCGUCCACUAGGCCCCGCCUUACCCAGCUUACCCAGGCCUAUAAACUGUCCCCCUCAAACACGCCUCCUCUCCUCCUCUCUCCCUCCUCCCUACUCUCCUGGCAGUACCACCAAAUGGACCAACCCUCUGCAGCCUCCACAUCUCUAUCUCCUCUCUCCUCUACCUACAAUAGCGUUCCAUGCGCACUGGCAGCCACUCUUCUCACGGUGUUCAGUGAUCAUUGGGAAAAGAGAAUAGAUCACGUGGGAACUCUCACCACUUCCCAGCAACGCUGGCUCUGGGCUUCUGUUCUCUUCAGUUCCUCUGAAGGAAGUGACCUAAUCCUAUGAGGCCAGGCUCUUCAGCUGGAUCCCUUGGCCAUCUUCUGGAGAGUUAGCUAAUCUCUCUUUCCUAAAAAGAAAAUGCAAAUCCUAAAGCCUUGGCUUUGUGAUCUGGCUUUACCAUGGGAAGCCUUGUGUCAGCAUGAAGGACAAGCAAAAGAAAAGAAUAUUCUGUUCCAACCUCACGGGAGUAGAAGACAGACACACAGAGGCAGUGGCAGAUGGAG
rnacentral:lncRNA from 1 species